rnacentral:rRNA from 1 species
ACUCCGUGCCAGCAGCCGCGGUAAUACGGAGGGUGCGAGCGUUAAUCGGAAUUACUGGGCGUAAAGCGUGCGCAGGCGGUUUGUUAAGCGAGAUGUGAAAGCCCCGGGCUCAACCUGGGAACCGCAUUUCGAACUGGCAAACUAGAGUCUUGUAGAGGGGGGUAGAAUUCCAGGUGUAGCGGUGAAAUGCGUAGAGAUCUGGAGGAAUACCGGUGGCGAAGGCGGCCCCCUGGACAAAGACUGACGCUCAGGCACGAAAGCGUGGGGAGCAAACAGGAUUAGAUACCCUGGUAGUCCACGCCGUAAUCGAUGUCUACUCGGAGUUUGGUGUCUUGAACACUG